UGUCAAGUAAAUGAUGACAAUUUGGCUCCCUCUACUGAAUGCUGUGAGGAGAAAAGCCUAGACGUUACCCAAGAAUGUCUGACUUGACA